UACUGUUAGCCAACGGGACUCGGGGGCUGGGCUUAUAGAAAAUGAUAGACAAGCAGAGUGAUGUCUUUUGUGCAGUGGCGGCAGGUCAGUGAUAUACACAGCGGCAGGUGUAGACCCUCCGGCCUGCGGGUACAGCGUCUGCUGCUGCUAGGCAACGGACGUCCCCGCUCAGCACGGACGUCACGGCACGUCAUCUCCAGGCGCCUCCCACACGCCGGACACGGAGCUCCGGGUCUGCACGCACGGGUGCUGUGGCGGGUUCUUCUUCCUUCUAUAAAGGCCCCAUUACCUGCUUCACCCAGCAAGCCCAGCUCGGAAAUGCCGGAAAGGAGCUGCACGCUGCAACUCCCUCUAGAUGCAGCCAACUAGCCUAGCAGCCUCUCAAUAUAAGGAGGAAGCUGUGCUUCAUUCCGAACUCCAUCAACAACAAAAAUAAAAAUAUCGGUCCGAUGGAUAAGCGGGAAGGAUGGAGUUUCCAGCAGUAGCAGCACCAGCAUGAGUGUUCAUAGCAAGCAAACAGCAUACAAGAGUUCAGCCUUCACAACAACCCAAGGAGAGGGGAAUGUUUCCAAAGCAAGUACAGUAUACAGAACUACUAAAAUAUUAUUUCUGCUUUCAUUGAUUGAGUGAGCUAAAUUGUUCAAACGACUAAAGUUGGCCACCUCUUGCAAGCCACAUAGGCA